AUCAUUUAAGUUAUAAACACGGCAGAACAGUAUUCGAAUACUUUGGCAUUUGAAAAAAAAACACAAAAUAAUGAAUUUAAAAAAUUGUAUUGUGCUUUUACAUUUGUUUGUUCAUUUGUAUACAGCAAACGCAGGAAUUCGCAACAAUCCACAGAAACUAGGCGAACUAUAUAGAGAGAUUUCAUUUAAAGUCCCAGAAGUUUAUAUGUAUAUAGUAAGAGACUAUAUAGAAAAACGAGACGUGUACAAGAAAUUUCGAAUUACUGGACGGGAUGAAAAAAGGAUAUUUGGAACCCGUUGGACUGAAGAAAUGUCGGAAGAGCAAUUUGUAGCAUUAGUAACUUCAAAAUUUAGUUAUCGGCAACUCGAAAAAAUGUAUAUUAAAAUCUCAAAAGCUGUAAAGGAUGAUUGCCUAGUAACUAAGGAAAGAGUUAAAACGUUUUUAAUGAAGAAACGACUCCGAUAUGGACUAAGUGCAAAGGAAAUCGAAGCGUUAACUAAACCAAUGAAGGGUUCCCAAAUGGAUGAUGCUAUGACAUUUCGCGAAUUUCAUAGAUUCAUGGUUUUCAAAAAAUAAUGUAUACGCUUCAAGACCAGCCGGUGGUAUAUUUAAACAUUUGCAACCCCCAGACAAGCCUAUAAAUUUAC